AGCGCUGCUCCAGGCCCGGGCCUGUGGGAACGAGGCAGAUGCUGUGAGGCCUCGCCCAGCUCCACUCCCACUCCCGCUUCCUCAGGCCUACACAUGCUGGGACUCUGGCUGAGGGAUUUCUCUGUCUGUGGAAACUUGCUGGCCUACAGGCUGGGCAGACUUGCCGGAGGUCGGUUCUCUCCACCGGUGACAGAGGGAAUUGGCCAACUCGUCCCCCAGCUUUCUCACCCAGGCUGGGGGGUCAAGGCCAGGCAAGGUCUAUACCAUCUCCUAGAGGUCCCCCGUGGGAAUGGGAGCAUCUGUCUACACAGUAACCUGCCAUCCCAUGCACUUUGUAUUUGCUUCCUUCUCUCAUCAGCCACUUAAAUCCACGGUGGGUAGGAAGUGUUAGAAAGAGAGAACAUCAGAGAAAAAGUGCCUCCUUGAGUACCUCAUCGAGCUCAAAUCCAAGAGAAGAGCAGACCUUGGUAUUAGAUCGUUGGUCUCCAGGGACUCCCAGUUACUGCCUUAAGAUGUCAGUGUCUGUAUACGUUGCCUGGCUAGUAAACUUUGGAGGAAUUGAUGAACCACUGUGUCUGGGCUUUUCAUUUCUUUGGCCUGAGUCCUGCCAGGUCUUUGUUGUCUCCCACAGGGCCUUUCAUACAUGUGCCCAAGAAUGCGUUGAUCUACUUUGAUCUCCUAUUGUGUAAGAAGAUUUCCUCCGGGAAAGGACGAGCAGUGAAUUCAUGAAACUUGGCACGGAUUUUGAUCUCAAUUUAUAGAUGGGAACACCUAUAAAAUGAAGAGGGUUGGGCCAGUCUGUGAGGCCAGUUCUAGCUCAAAAUCCUGGCAUCCUCUAAGAUGUGGAAGAGUGAGGUCAGAGGGAGGCGGCCGGCUGCUGGCAGCGCCGGGCAGCUGGGCGCUGGGGCCCAGGGCUCUUCAGAGACCAUGUUAGAAUUCCCGUUUUGCCAUCACCAAGAUGUACAUCCAAAGGCACAUUCCACAGUACUGCCCCUGGGUGUGUAGGCAAAUAUUGAUUUAAAUCAUUGAAUGGGUUAGUAUUUGCUGAGAACCUUCUACAGACAGUGAGCUGAGGGGCGGUGUCAUGAGGGGUACAAAAGGUGACUACAUCAGGACCCUUGCCCUCAAGGAGGUCGGGGCCCUGUCUGCAGCAGGCUGUGUGGCCCUGCACACACAGCCACCUCCUUAUUUCCUCAUCUGUGAAACGAGGGAAAUGAAACCAAUUUUGCUUGUUAUGAGAAUUAGAGAUAAUAUAGGUAAAGCUUGUUGGACUACUUCUAGGAUCGGAUUGUUAUUAAGAAAUAGGUAUUAUAGGUCAAGUUCCCAGCACAGUGCCUAACACUUGGUAGGUAUUAAAUAACUGGUACUGUAAGGGAGCAGAAUUUACCACCCCCAAAUAGGUCUCUUUGGUAUAACGAUUAUUUUAAGCUGGUUGUUUUUAUUUUUUAAUUUUUUCUUUUUUUCUAUAUCGAAGUAUAGUUGAUUUACAAUGUUGUGUUAGUUUCAGGUGUACAGCAAAACGAUUCAUAUAUAAUAUAUAUUCAUAUUCUUUUUCAGAUUCCUUUCCCUUAUAGGUUAUUACAAAAUAUUGAGUAGAGUUCCCUGUGCUAUACAGUAGGUCCUUGUUGGUUAUCUAUUUUAUAUAUAGUAGUGUGUAUAUGUCAGCCUAAUUUAUCCCUCCCUCCACCCUUUCCCCUUUGGUAUAGGCUGGUUAUUUUUGAAAAACAACAGACACAGGAGUAGCUCUGAAAACCAAGCAGAAGUUACGCCUUGUAAAAGAUGCUUACGUGUGUGAGGGAAAUCUGUAUUUGUAAGGGUGUCUCCCUUGCUGUAUCAGGAAGAGGGGGAGGACUCAAUCUCUAGAAACUCUUAUCAGUGGAGAAGGCAAAGGGCUUCAAUCUGCCUAAUAAGCUUACUCUUAUCACUGUGCUUUUCCUGAUACCCUCUCAUAACUCCCUCCUCCUUUCACAUCUUCUUUUGUCUUCAGCUGAAGAUGGUAUUUAAGAUGAGGGUUUCCACCAUUUCAGGGAGUUAGUUUUCCUGGGUCUCUCCCAUGGAUACAGGAGGUAUACAUGCUAUUAACCUUUUGUUUGUUUUUUCUCCUAUUAACGUGUCUCAUGGCAAGUUCAUAAUUAGACCAGCCGGAGAAUGCAGAAGGGAAGAAGGCAACGUUUUUCCUCCCCUACAGUAAUUACUGUAGUUGCUGGUAAUAUACUCUCAUCAUUAUUAUCAGCACGGGCCAGCAUUAGUAACGCUUUCAGCAGAGAGGAGACCUGAGAGGGACCAGGGAGGGGAGGGGCUCAGUGAAUGGCAGGUGAGUUUCCACCCAAGAGCUCUUUGCCUCUCUAACGCCCAAUCUAUGUGCAUCACAUCCCCACCUGUGUCCCUACGAAGCUACUCAUAUGCUUGUCAUUCAUUCUCCAGAACCCUUAGACUCACCUUUCCACAAGGCUUUCUAACAGGAAAUACAACUGUCAGCGGAUUUUUUUAAAAGUGAAAACCAAGUUCAGCGCUCAUGCAUUUCUUCAGGCAUUAACCGUAAACCGCACUGCCUCAUGAGCAGAUCCCCACCCGCUCUCUGAACGAGGCAAACCCUGGUCUCUGUGCUGAUCCAGAGGUGGCUUUGUUAUCCGCAGUUCAGUCAGGGGGGCUUUGGAGGCUCUGCCCUUAAGUGGGGCUGAGGCGGGCUAGAGCCACUCCACUGCCCCCAGAGGAAUGUAAGAAAUCCCCUUGAUCCCUAAAGAAUCUGGAUUAACAAGCCUUCUUGGUGGGCAAGGAAAUCUGCUACAAAUUCUAGCAUCUAAAUCCAAAGGCUUUCAAAUUCUUGCUUCUUAAAGCUAGUCCAUUAAUUAAUUCCAUACACAUCACAUUUUUUUCUCUCUCUCUUUUCCUGUGCUCCUGUUUUUCUCUGAAACCAUAACUGUAUUUGGGGGGUUAAUAAACAAGUAAUUGUAGAAAAGGUUCUUACUGCUUUGACCUCUCCUCUCUCCCUCCCUUUCUCUCUCCCACAAAAGCUUCACAGGCAGACCUCCUUUUACCGUACUUAGCUUUUUUGCACUUUACAGAUCUUGUGUUUUUUUUUUACAAAUUGAAGGUUUGUAGCAACCCUGCACCGAGCAAGUUUCUGGGAGCCAUUUUUCCAAUAGCAUUUGUUCACUUCGUGUCUCUGUGUUACAGUCUGGUAAUUCAGUAUUUCAAACUUUUUCCUUAUUACUGUAUUUGUUAUGGUGACCUGUGAUCAGUGAUCUUUGACGUUACAAUUGUGAAUGUUUUAAAUGCCCGUAUAAGACGAUGAACUUAACCCAUAAA